GCGCUCACAUGUGAUGGUUCGAGUUGGCGGAGGUUGGGAUACACUUUCCCAUUAUUUGGACAAACAUGACCCCUGUCGAUGCAAGGCGGCGCAUCGCUCAUCGGUCGCGGCACGGCUAAUUACCAAAACAAACAACACUACCAAUGGCAUUGAAUUGCACAAAGCCCAGGUUCUGUACGAUAGGUCAUCUACUCUGUCUUGGAAAACUAAUGCAACCAACGCACAAUCUGGAGAUUACUUGGGCAGCACGCUUUCGCCACCAGCACGAGCUAGAAGUCGCAGCCGAAGUCCGAGUGCUCAUAGGAAAAUUCACCCGAGUGGCGAAACAGCUGUAAGUAUCUUUUUUAAACUUCACAUGACAAGAUUUAAAAAAAUUGAUUGAUUUAUUAUGUCCUCAAAAGUUCUAUGCAACGAUUUAUUCAGAAAGCAUUUACAGCCCUUUAAGGACGCUUUUAGUACGCAAUUCAACAUUGUUGCGAAUUGCAACCACCGUGCUUCACUACUGUGCUAAGAUAGGUCCAUUUGUACAAAGUUCACCUGUGGCAUCUGACCUUUUACCCAUCAGGAAGCCGACGUCAAGGACUCAAAUAAUACGCCGAGCCUCGAGAGCCUCUUUACACUUUAUCCCGUCAGUAAAAUUGUAACGAAUGUUGUUGCUCCCGAACAAACAACAGCUUAAGCGCCACUCUCGAACGUCGAGAGACUGUUGAUGCGUGUUACCGUGCUCGGCUUUUGAGACUUGAAACAGGGCGGGUUAAGUAUAGUUCAAACACCCAAACUCAUUUUGGCUUUCCCAACAACUAAACGAAGCGCAUACAGAACAGACUCAAUUUUAUGACUGGAAAAUAUUUCUGGCUCUUAUUUUCAACUGACGUUAGUUAAACUAAUCUUACAUUCUCGCCAAUGCCAAAAAAAAUAAAAAUUUUGAAAUAAAUUUCAAAAUUUUUAUAAAGAACUAACACACUUCGACAACUAAAAAGUAAACUUAUCAAC